CCCUUAGAUGUUCUGGGCCGCACGCGCGCUACACUGACGAAGUCAGCGAGCAUGUCCUACGCCGACAGGUGCGGGGAAUCUUGUCAAACUUCGUCGUGAUGGGGAUUGAUUAUUGAAAUUCUUGAUCAUCAACGAGGAAUUCCUAGUAAGCGCAAGUCAGCAGCUUGCGUUGAUUACGUCCCUGCCCUUUGUACACACCGCCCGUCGCUACUACCGAUUGAAUGGUUUAGUGAGAUCUUCGGAUUGGCGGCACUGCGGCUCAGCAAUGGGCUCGGUGGAUGCCGAAAAGUUGAUCAAACUUGAUCAUUUAGAGGAAGUAAAAGUCGUAACA
rnacentral:rRNA from 1 species